rnacentral:misc_RNA from 1 species
CACAACUAAACUCAUUUAUACCAUAACACAUUUCAAGAAUCAUUGAAAUAAAUUCAAUAGUUGGUAAACAUAAUAUAUAAAGAAACUAAAAUCCUUUAAUCAAAUAAAAUAUACAAAACUUUAACACUGUAAAACUAGUUGUGCACAAACCUCUUUGUCGACUAGUUUACUCCAAUUUUCGGUUUUUCAUUGAAGAUCCCUUGCUAGUCUUUUUUUCAACUAAAACACACAAUUUAUAGUGUUUCAGUAUCAUAUCUCAUAAUUAAUCUAUUAAUUUAUUUCAUGCCUAUUUAAUUGUAGCCUUAAAUUUGCUUAAAAUGGUAUCCUUUAAAUUUUACAUUUUGGAUCACUAUUCAAGUUAAAAUGUUGACUUUUUCCUACUAAAUAGGUUUAUUAAUUCUAACUGCACCUAUAUAUCACAUUUUGGGUGUCAAUUUUGUUGGCAUUGAUUGCCAAUUCAAUUUCUAAGUCUCCUAAGAGAAAUUACAAUUUUUCAGUUUUGGUCCCCUAUUUUCUACUGUUCCAUUGGUCUGGUUACUGUGAGAAUUUGGCUAAGUAUCCUUCAUCAAAAUUGUUCCUUAUUG